CGGUUUGAUCCUGGCUGAGGCCAUUGCUAUCGGAGUCCGAUUUAGCCAUGCUAGUUGCACGAGUUCAUACUCGUGGCGGAUAGCUCAGUAACACGUGGCCAAGCUACCCUAUGGAGAGGGAUAACCCCGGGAAACUGGGGCUAAUACCUCAUAACGCUCCCCCACUGGAAUGUGGGGAGCCGGAAAUGCUCCGGCGCCAUAGGAUGCGGCUGCGGUCGAUUAGGUAGACGGUGGGGUAACGGCCCACCGUGCCGAUAAUCGGUACGGGUCGUGAGAGCGAGUGCCCGGAGAUGGAUUCUGAGACAAGAAUCCAGGCCCUACGGGGCGCAGCAGGCGCGAAACCUUUACACUGCACGCAAGUGCGAUAAGGGGACUCCGAGUGCGUGGGCAUAGAGCCCUCGCUUUUCUGGACCGUAAGGUGGUCCAGGAACAAGGGCUGGGCAAGACCGGUGCCAGCCGCCGCGGUAACACCGGCAGCCCGAGUGAUGGCCGCUAUUAUUGGGCCUAAAGCGUCCGUAGCCGGCCGAGUAAGUCCGUCGGGAAAUCCACUCGCCUAACGAGUGGGCGUCCGGCGGAAACUGCUCGGCUUGGGACCGGGAGACCUGAGGGGUACGUCCGGGGUAGGAGUGAAAUCCUGUAAUCCUGGACGGACCACCGGUGGCGAAAGCGCCUCAGGAGAACGGAUCCGACGGUGAGGGACGAAAGCUAGGGUCUCGAACCGGAUUAGAUACCCGGGUAGUCCUAGCUGUAAACGAUGCUCGCUAGGUGUGACGCAGGCUACGAGCCUGCGUUGUGCCGUAGGGAAGCCGUGAAGCGAGCCGCCUGGGAAGUACGUCUGCAAGGAUGAAACUUAAAGGAAUUGGCGGGGGAGCACUACAACCGGAGGAGCCUGCGGUUUAAUUGGACUCAACGCCGGACAUCUCACCAGCACCGACAGUAAUCAUGACAGUCAGGUUGAUGACCUUACUCGAGUUACUGAGAGGAGGUGCAUGGCCGCCGUCAGCUCGUACCGUGAGGCGUCCUGUUAAGUCAGGCAACGAGCGAGACCCA
rnacentral:rRNA from 1 species